rnacentral:rRNA from 1 species
UACGGGGGGGGCAAGCGUUGUUCGGAAUUACUGGGCGUAAAGAGCUCGUAGGUGGCCAACUAAGUCAGACGUGAAAUCCCCCGGCUUAACCGGGGAACUGCGUCUGAUACUGGAUGGCUAGAGUGUGGGAGAGGGAUGCGGAAUUCCAGGUGUAGCGGUGAAAUGCGUAGAUAUCUGGAGGAACACCGGUGGCGAAGGCGGCAUCCUGGACCAUGACUGACACUGAAAAGCGAAAGCCAGGGGAGCAAACGGG